rnacentral:rRNA from 1 species
GACGAACGCUGGCGGCGUGCUUAACACAUGCAAGUCGAACGCUGAAGCUCAGCUUUUGUUGGGUGGAUGAGUGGCGAACGGGUGAGUAACACGUGAGUAACCUGCCCCCUUCUUUGGGAUAACGCCCGGAAACGGGUGCUAAUACUGGAUAUUCACUGGUCUUCGCAUGGGGGUUGGUGGAAAGGGUUUUUCUGGUGGGGGAUGGGCUCGCGGCCUAUCAGCUUGUUGGUGGGGUGAUGGCCUACCAAGGCUUUGACGGGUAGCCGGCCUGAGAGGGUGACCGGUCACAUUGGGACUGAGAUACGGCCCAGACUCCUACGGGGGGCAGCAGUGGGGACUAUUGCACAAUGGGCGCAAGCCUGAUGCAGCGACGCCGCGUGAGGGAUGGAGGCCUUCGGGUUGUGAACCUCUUUCGCUCAUGGUCAAGCCGCAACAAUGGUUGUGGUGAGGGUAGUGGGUAAAGAAGCGCCGGCUAACUACGUG